rnacentral:rRNA from 1 species
GACGAACCGUGCAAACGUUGUUCGGAAUCACUGGGCUUAAAGGGCGCGUAGGCGGGCAAGCAAGUCCGGGGUGAAAUCUUUCGGCCCAACCGGAAAAGGGCCUUGGAUACUGCUUGUCUGGAGGGAGGUAGGGGCAGACGGAACUUCCGGUGGAGCGGUGAAAUGCGCAGAUAUCAGGAGGAACACCAAUGGCGAAGGCAGCUCGCUGGGACGGUACUGACACUGAGACGCGAAAGCGUGGGGAGCAAACAGG